UCCAUUCUCCGCACAAGUCAAGAAGCCUCCAAUUGAAUUGCUUUCAGCAACCCCCGCACCGCGGUCCACACCCCCUCCUCAACUCCUCUUCACCAAAGAACCACCAAAAUGGAAGAACCCCAAGAGCACGAGCACAACCACAACCACAACCACAAUCACCAGGACCCUCCAAAAUCCUCCACAGCUCCACUAUCACCUACCUGCGUUAAGUGCGGAGGCCCAUGCUCCUUCCCUCCACCACCCACACAAUCCCAAUGGUCCGAAAUCUCCCCUCCCCCAAUCUACCGCCCUAUCCGUUCUCCGGCAAUAAAUCUCCCACCAAAUACAAAUUCUCAAGCCAUAAUCCUCGCUCCAGUCCCGCAAUCCCAAAAAGUCCCCACCAUUUCCCUUCCUCACACCUUCCAAUCGCCCUCCAAAAAAAUCCAAUCCCCUGAUGACAUUCGUAGAUUCAUCAACUCCGAUUCCUCUAAAAACUUCCUCGGCUUCGUCGUCGCUCUCUCAGAAUCCAUACGCGCCCACAAAAUCUCCGAUUCCUGUCAUGAAUCCACUACUCUGAAAAAAAUUGUGUCCGUUAUUGAAGGCCUUGUUCAUUGGAUCGAAGAAAUACCUCCGGUUCAACAAUCUUCCCGAUACGGUAACAUCUCUUACCGUACCUGGCAUAACCGUUUGGUAGAAAAUAGUGAGAAUUUAAUGCUUCAAUUUUUACCUGAUAAUUUAAAGUCUUCAAUGGUCGAGAUUGUUCCUUAUUUUACUGAUAGUUUUGGUAAUUCCAGCCGGAUUGAUUACGGUACAGGACAUGAAACUAAUUUCGCCGCAUGGCUUUAUUGUUUGGCAAGAAUGGGGAUUAUAGAGGAAGUUGAUUAUCAAGCUGUAGUUUCUAGGGUUUUUGUUAAGUAUAUUGAGUUAAUGAGGAAACUGCAAUCAGUUUAUAAUCUAGAGCCUGCAGGGUCGCACGGUGUUUGGGGGUUGGAUGAUUAUCAUUUCUUGCCGUUUAUAUUUGGAUCAUCACAGUUGAUUGAUCAUAAGUAUAUGAAGCCUAAGUCUAUUCACAAUGAGGAUAUUUUGGAGAACUUUUCAAAUGAGUAUAUGUAUCUUUCGUGCAUUCUAUUGAUUAAGAAGGUUAAGAAAGGUUUGUUUGCUGAGCACUCGCCUUUGUUGGAUGAUAUCAGUGGAGUGCCUAACUGGAAGAAGGUGAAUAGUGGGUUGCUUAAGAUGUAUAGAGCAGAAGUCUUGGAGAAAGUGCCUAUCAUGCAGCAUUUUCUGUUUGGGUCGCUUAUAAAGUGCAGCCUCAUUGCGGGGCAUUAAAGACCCCAGUGUUUGGCUGAUAUCUCUGUGCUUGCCAUGGAAGAUUUUACAAACCUAACACUGAUUAUUGGCAAGGCAUGGACAUUAGUUGCUUCAAAUUUAGCACCACACAGGAGUAGUGCGUUUUAUCAGCUCUAUAAGAACAUAUGCUACGGAACCAAGAGGUGAUUUUUCCACCGGGUUUCACCAUGAGUUUAACAGAGUGGAAAUGUGCUCCUACUGUGAAUUCUUUGAGCUAUUUCUGUUUUCUUUUUUCUUCCUAUUAUUUUCUUAAACUGACAGCACAUGCAGUAUCGGAUAAUUAUCUAUCCGUUUGUUUUACAACUUAUUUGACGGUAGUUUAAUAAUUGCCUGUCAAGUGGCUGAGGGAUGAAAGAAGCUCUUAUGAAUGUAGAACAAAUGGCAUGCAAGGCGUAGGGUGUAUUUGUUUCUAGGAAAAUAUUCUUUUGAAAACUAAUUUCUAAACUUUCUUAAGGUUGUAUAAUUUUAGGAAAUUUGGUGAUGGUUUGUAAUCAAAGAAAAAUUUAAAGCA